AUUGAACGCUAGCGGGAUGCUUUACACAUGCAAGUCGAACGGCAGCGCGGACUUCGGUCUGGCGGCGAGUGGCGAACGGGUGAGUAAUGUAUCGGAACGUGCCUAGUAGCGGGGGAUAACUACGCGAAAGCGUAGCUAAUACCGCAUACGCCCUACGGGGGAAAGCAGGGGAUCGUAAGACCUUGCACUAUUGGAGCGGCCGAUAUCGGAUUAGCUAGUUGGUGAGGUAACGGCUCACCAAGGCGACGAUCCGUAGCUGGUUUGAGAGGACGACCAGCCACACUGGGACUGAGACACGGCCCAGACUCCUACGGGAGGCAGCAGUGGGGAAUUUUGGACAAUGGGGGCAACCCUGAUCCAGCCAUCCCGCGUGUGCGAUGAAGGCCUUCGGGUUGUAAAGCACUUUUGGCAGGAAAGAAACGUCGCGGGCUAAUACCCCGUGGAACUGACGGUACCUGCAGAAUAAGCACCGGCUAACUACGUG
rnacentral:rRNA from 1 species